rnacentral:rRNA from 1 species
CGGCGGACGGGUGAGUAACGCGUGGAUAACCUGCCCCAUACCGGGGGAUAACAGUUAGAAAUGACUGCUAAUACCGCAUAAGCGCACGGAGCCGCAUGGCGCAGUGUGAAAAACUCCGGUGGUAUGGGAUGGAUCCGCGUCUGAUUAGCUAGUUGGCGGGGUAACGGCCCACCAAGGCAGCGAUCAGUAGCCGACCUGAGAGGGUGGCCGGCCACAUUGGGACUGAGACACGGCCCAAACUCCUACGGAAGGCAGCAG